GGCUGGUGGCCUCUGGUGCAGGCGGUUGUGCAUUUGCCUGGGGGGACCUCCUCCACCUGGUGUGUGGCAGCUGAGUGCUUAAGAGCGUGGGUGUUUUGUUUUGUUUCAAUUUGUUUAUUUGAAAAGCAGAGUUUACAGAAAGAGAAGGAGAGAGAGAGGUCUUCCAUCUGCUGCUUCACUCCCCAAAUGGCCACAGUGGCUGGAGCUGGGCUGAUCCAAAGUCAGAAGCCAGGAGCUUCUUCUGGGUGUUCCACGUGGGUGUGGGGGCCCUCGUACUCAGGCCAUCUUCUGCUGCUUUCCCAAGUGCACUGGCAGGGAACUGGAUCAGAAGUGGAGCAGCCAGGACUCUAACCAGUGCCCAUGUGGGAUGCUGGUGUCUCAGGUGGCAACUUUACCCCCUACGCCACAGCACGGCCCCAAGAGCAUGGGUUUUGCAGUCAGAGUCACCUGGGCCCUAACGCUGGCUUCACACAUGCCAGCUGUGUAGCCGGGAGCAAGUUUGGGCGCCCUGGUUAUUCAGUAGAACCAAGGGAAUCCAGGUUCCAAAUCCUUAAGGUUUGUUGGGAAUCAGAUGACGUAACAGCAGGUCAAGUGCAGUGGAGGCCGUGCUCACUGACAUUGAGUCAGUGGCCGUGACUGAGGGUGGCUGCAGUCGCCCUGCCUCUGUGUGGAGGCCUCAGUCCACUGCUGUUGAUGUACUGCAGCCCGUCGGGCAGUGAGGUCCUGUGGGAUGAGGGGAAUGGCGUGUGGCAGUGUCUUCUUCUUUUUUUUAAAUAUUUAUUUAUUUAUUUGAAAGAUAGUUACAGAGAGAGAUAGAGACAGAGAGUCUUCUAUCUGCUGGUUCACUCCCCAGAUGGCCACAAUGGCCGGAGCUGCACUGAUCCGAAGCUAGGAGCCAGGAGCUUGGAGCUUCUUGCGGAUCUCCCACGUGGGUGCAGGGGCCCAAGGACUUGGGCCAUCUUCUGCUGCUUUCCCAGGCCAUAGCAGAGAGCUGGAUUGGAAGAGGAGCAGCCGAGACUAGAACCAGCACCCAUGUGGGAUGCCGGUGCAUCAGGCCAGGGCUUUAACCCCCUAUACCACAGAGCCAGCUGCCUGCCCCCCCCCCCCCCCCAAGGAUUUAUUUUAUUUAUUGGAGAGGUAGAGUUACAGACAGUGAGAAGGAGAGACAGACAGAAAGGUCUGCUGGUUCACUCCCCAAAUGGCUGCAAUGGCCGGAGCCUUGCCAAUCUGAAGCCAGGAGCCAGGUGCUUCUUCCUGGUCUCCCAUGUGGGUGCAGGGGCCUGAGCACUUGGGCCAUCCUCCACUGCCUUUCCGGGCCACAGCAGAGAGCUGGACUGGAAGAGGAGCAGCCGGGACUAGAACCGGCUCCUAUAUAGGAUGCCAGUGCUGCAAAUGGAGGAUUACACUACUGCCCCAUGGGCCCCUGCUGUGUCUUCUUGUGUGACCCUCCAACAGCCUUGGAGCAGCACUGAAUAAUUACCUGCCCUCUCAUCAAACGAGAUAGGAGUGAAUAUGUUCUAGGAAACAAAACGCGUCAAAUACACAGUGCGUUCCUCAAUCCAAGUGAAGGACAAGCUACAGACGGUGAAGAUAGAGUGACCUGUGCUCUCUUCGCUGCUGGCCGCAGGGGCAGGCCCUCAGGGUGCUGUAGGGCACCUGGCCCCACCAGCUGCUGGGCUUCUCCUCAGUCAUUUCACCACUUGCAGAUUUGUGAUGGUCAAGGUUGUGUAUUUCUGAGGCUGUUUUGGUUUGUGGAAAAGAUGUGGACUUAAGCCUGCUUAAGACACUCUUAGGAAAAUGGAUUGGGAGAAGACUUCUGACUGAAUGUAUGAAAUUUGGAAGUAAAAUAAAUGGAAUUUUAGAAUUUCCAAAUCCAAUACAAUAUAUUCAUCAGGAUGUUAAUACAUAAAUAAGAGAAGUUUUUUUCACCACAGACAUAACUUACUGUACAUAGUUCAUGUAGAUUAUGUACUCUAUAUUAUAAUUUAAAGAAAUUUCACAGGUUAGGUUUAAUUCCUAGGUAACUUAUGAAGUGAAUACAUAAUGUGAUAUGUGGAAUUUUAUAUUUUGUGAACCUUUGAUUUAAUUUUAAAGAUUGAUGUAUUGGAAAGACAGAGCAAGAGACACAGAAAAUCUGCCAUUUGUGGUUCACUCCUUAAAUGGCAGCAGCAGUCAGGGUUGGGCCAGGCUGAAGCCAGGAGCCAGGAACUCCAUCUGGGUUUCCCAUGUGGAUGGUGGGCUCAAGUACUUGGGCCAUCUUCCGCUGCUAUCUCAGAUGCAUUGGCAGGGAGCUGGAUCAGUAGUGGAGUUGCUAGGAGUUGAACUGGUGCUUGUAGGUGGUGGUUUAACCUGUUGCACUACAACGCUGGCCCCAAACCCUUGAAUUUAAAAUAUAUUGAUUUUAGAGUGAAUACCCAAGAAUCAUAAGAGUUUAAUUUCACACUAACCAAAGGUAAAAUUAUUUUGAAAUUAAAAAAAAUUUUUUAAAUUAAAUUUAGAAACAAAAUUUAUUGAUUUGAAAGGCAGAGACACAGAGCAGAAGACAGCCAGAAGUGACUCAUUCACUGGUUCACUCCUCAAAUGCCCACAGUAGCUGGGGUGGGCCAGGUCAAAGCCAGGCACUGGGAACUGAAUUUGAUUUUCUCUUGUAGGUGUAAGACCCAACCACUUCAGCAAUCACCUGGCUGCCUCCCAGGGUACACAUUAGCAGGAAGCCAGAGUCAGGGGCAGAGCCAACCUAAGUGAUGUCUUAAAUGCUGUACCAAAUGCCCACCUGUUAUUUAUUUAUUUAUUUAUUUAUUUAUUUAUUUGACAGGUAGAGUUGACAGAGAGAGACAGAGAGAAAGGUCUUCCUUUUCCAUUGGUUCACUCUCCAAUGGCUGCUGCGGCCGGUGCGCUGCAGCCAGGAGCCAGGAGCCAGGUACUUCUCCUGGCCUCCCAUGCGGGUGCAGGGCCCAAGCACUUGGGCCAUCCGCCACAGCACUCCCGGGCCACAGCAGAGAGCUGGCCUGGAAGAGGGGCAACCGGGACAGAAUCCAGCACCCCGACCGGGACUAGAAUCCGGUGUGCCGGGGCCGCAGGUGGAGGAUUAGCCUAGUGAGCCGCGGUGCCGGCUGCCACCUGUUAUUUUGAAAAAAAAUUUUUUUAAAGAUUUUGCUUAAUUAUUUGAGAGGCAUAGUUAUAGACAGAGGGAGAGACAGAGAGAAAGGUCUGCCUAUCCACUGAAUCACUCCUCAAAUGUCCACAGUGGCUGGAGCUGGGUCUAUUUGAAACCAGGAGCUUAUUCUGGGUCUCCCAUGUGGGUGCAGGGGUUCAAGAACUUGAGCCAUCUUCCAUUGCUUUCUGAGGCCAUAAACAGAGAGCUGGAUUGGAAGAGGAGGGAAUUGGCACCCAUAUGGGAUGCUGGCACUGCAGGUGGAGGCUUAGCCUACUAUACCACAGUGCUUGCCCCUAUUUUGAAAUUUUUGUUAAAAAAAAAAAAAUCAACAUGUCGUUUUCCCACUUCCUCCCUCUCUCCCUUCCUCUCUCCCUCCCUCUCUCCCUCCCUCUCCCCCUCCCUCUCUCCCUCCCUCUCUCCCCUCCCUCUCUCCCCUCCCUCUCCCCCUCCGCUUCUCCCUUUCUCCCCCUCUCGCCCUCUCCUCUCCCCUUCUCCCUUUCUCCCUCUCUUCCCCUCUGCCCCCUCUCUUCCCCCUCCCUCUCUCUCUUCCCCCCUCCUUCUCUCCCUCUCUGUCUCCCCCUCUCCCUCUCUCCCUCCCUUUCUCUCAGUAACUUUGCCUUUCAAAUAAAUAAAGUAUUUAAAUAAAAAGAUUUAUUAUUUCAAAGGCAGAGUGAUAUAGGGUGGGACGAGGAGGGGGAAGAUAGAUAUCUUCCAUCCACUAGCUCACUUGCAAAAUGCCUGCAACUGCCUGACAGCCCAUGCUGGUCUCCUUUGUGGGUGGCUGGGGCCGUGUACUUGUGCUAGCAGGAAGCUGGAUUGGAAGUGUUGCAUAGCUGGGCUUGAACCAAGCACUCUGGUACGGGAUGCGGUGCUCCAGCAGUGGCCACAAUGCCUUUCCCAUAAUGUUUCUUCAGUAUUUACUGAUGCGUUUAGAAGAAUUGUAUUUCCUAGACAGUGGUCUAUACUAGAGGUUUUUUUAUUUUUAUUUUUUUAUUUUUAUUUUUAUUUUUUUUUUUUGACAGGCAGAGUGGACAGUGAGAGAGAGAGACAGAGAGAAAGGUCUUCCUUUUUGCCGUUGGUUCACCCUCCAAUGGCCGCCGCGGCCGGCGCGCUGCGGCCGGCGCACCGCGCUGAUCCGAUGGCAGGAGCCAGGAGCCAGGUGCUUUUCCUGGUCUCCCAUGGGGUGCAGGGCCCAAGCACCUGGGCCAUCCUCCACUCCACUCCCUGACCACAGCAGAGGGCUGGCCUGGAAGAGGGGCAACUGGGACAGAAUCCGGCGCCCCGACCGGGACUAGAACCCGGUGUGCCGGCGCCGCCAGGCGGAGGAUUAGCCUAGUGAGCCGCGGCGCCAGCUUUUUUAUUUUUUUGACAGGCAGAAUUAGACAGUGAGAGAGAGAGGAAGAGAGAGAAAGGUCUUCCUUUGCCGUUGGUUCACCCUCCAAUGGCCGCCACAGCUGGCGCGCUGCGGCCGGCGCACCGCGCUGAUCCAAUGGCAGGAGCCAGGUGCUUCUCCUGGUCUCCCAUGGGGUGCAGGGCCCAAGCACUUGGGCCAUCCUCCACUGCACUCCCUGGCCACAGCAGAGAGCUGGGGUUCCUGGCCUUUUUGCCUCUCCUCUUAUGCCUUCUCUUUCCUUCACUUGUGUGGCUUUGCACGUGUUUCCUUUUCUCUGAGAUGCCUUCAUUCCUCUAGCACCAGUGUUCUACUACAUGUUGAUGACUCCAUGUCUCCGUAUAUUCAGCUGCCUGCAGGCAGUUCUCCUUUGAGUGUCCCAGAGUCCCUUCACCACAUGUGCUCACAUUGGCCCUGUUGGGUGAUUUCUGGACUUGUGUGCCUUACCUAGGCAACCCAGCUGCCUGAAUCUUUUUUCUUUUCUUUUUCUUUUUCUUUUUGACAGAGUUAGAGAGAGAGAAAGAGAGAAAGGUCUUCCCUCCGCUGGUUCACCCCUGCAAAUGGCCUCUACAGCCGGCGUGCUGUGCCUGUCCGAACCCAGGAGCCAGGUGCUUCCUCCUGGUCUCCCAUGCAGGUGCAGGGCCCAAGGACUUGGGCCAUCCUCCACUGCCUUCCUGGGCCACAGCAGAGCUGGACUGGAAGAGGAGCAACCGGGACAGAACGAGCUCCCCAACUGGGACUAGAGCCUGGGGUGCCGGCGCCGCAGGCGGAGGAUUAGCCCAGUGAGCCACGGCACCGGCCAUCUUUUUUCUUUUUAAUUAAUUUAUUUGAAAGGCAAAGUGACAGAGAGAUACAGAUAAAUAUCUUCCAUCUGCUGGUUCACUCCCCAAAUACUUCCAGGCCAGGGCAAAGCCAGGAGCUUGAAACUCUGUCCACGUCUCCCACAUGGGUAGCAGGGACCCAAGUGCUUGAGUCAUAAUUUGCUGCUUUCCAGGGACAUUAGUGGAGAGCCAGAUGGGGAGUAAAAUAGUCAGGACUUGGACCUGCACUCUAAUAUGGGAUGUGGGUAUCCCAAGCAGUGACUUAACCACUGCACCAAAUGCCUACUCUAUCCCCAUUUUAUAGAUGAGAACUCCAAGCUUACGGUGGCUACUUGGCCUUACAGCCAGGCCUCAAAUCUAUGUUGCCCGGUUCUAGAACUUGCAUUCCCAGCUGUUCUGCUAUUUUCACUUUCAAGAAAGUGAACUUCUCUGGGGCCAGCAGCUGUGGUUCAGUAGGCUAAGCCAUCUCUGCAAUUCCAGUAUCCCAUAUGGGUGCUGGUGCACGUCCCAGCUGCUCCAUUUCUGAUACAGCUUCCUGUUAAUGGCCUGGGAAAGCACUGAAAAUGGCCCAAGUCCUUAGGCCCCUGCACCCACACAGGAGACUCAGAAGAAGCUUCUGGCUUUGGCCUGGCCCAGCCCUGGCCAUUUGGGAAAUGAACCAGCAGAUGGAAGAUUGAUCUCUCUUUCUCUCUAACUCUGACUUUCAGAUAAAUAAAUAAAUCUUUUUUUUUUUUUUUAAAGUGAACUUCUCAGGUUAUGCUAGACACCACUGAUCUUCCUGCUCAGACUUCCCUAGGAUCUGAUACCGUGGGCUCUUCACAAUCAAAUACUUUUCUCCCACCUCAAGCACGUUUUAUUGUGUGAAUAACAGAACAUAAAAUCAGGCUGAGAAGUCUCCAAGGAAGUGAUGGUCCUGUUAUUCCCUUUGUGGUCCUUCAUCUUCUAAGCCAUUAUAUUUAUAUAUAUAAUAUAUGUUAUUAUAUUAUUACAUAUUAUAUCUUAAUAUAUUAUAUUAUAUUAUAUAUUAUUAUAAUAUAUCAUAUAUUACAAUAUAUUUUAUAUAUAUCAUGUUAGACAUGAGCAUAUUUUGAUUACAAAUGUAAUCCAAGUGUUGGUGAAUAAAUGUAAUAUCUUUUUCACACGUAUUUGUUCCCCCAUGUUCCUUUAAAUUACCAAAAGUGCUAAAUGUCUCUUUCCAGCUCAUUUUUCCAUAGUUGUCCUACAUGUGAUUUUAAAAAAAGGCUAAAACUUGGUCUUCUGAAAUCUUUCUUGAAGUAUAGCACAUAGCACAUUCUCUUAAAGAAAUCCAAGGAAAGCAGUCCCCCCCACCCCCCGUAUUUAUUUAUUUAUUCGAAAAAUCGGAGUUACAGAGAAAGUGGCUGAGACUGAGAAGGGGAUUUUCCGUCUGCUGUUUCACUCUCCAGAUGGCUGCAACACCCAGGGCUUGUUCAGGCCAGAGCCGGGAGCUUCUUCCAAGUCUCCCACGUGGGUGGCAGGGGCCCAAGCCCUUGGGCCAUCUUCUGCUGCUUUCCCCAGAACAUUAGCAGGGAGCUGGAUCGGAAGUGGAGUAACUGGGACACAAACCAGCACCCAUAUGAUGCCAGCAUUGCAGGUGGUGGCUUAACCCACUAUGCCACAACGCUGGCCCAGGAAAGGAGUUUUAUUGAUACUGUCCAUAGUCUCUGAAAAGUAAGAUUGGUAGCUGGGUUGAAGGCUACUGGGAGGGAUCUUCAGCCAACUUAGGGCUGUUGGGCAACUGCUCAGUGGCAAAUCCUAUCACAAGCAUACCAGUUUCUUCAAUUAAGCCUAGUAGAAUGUCACCAGCCUUGGCAGACCCAACAGUCGUGGGCUCCGGGCCAUUUCUGGAAGCCAGUAUGGCUCCCGUAAGGCACCACUUGUGAUGGAUUUGCAGUGAACCACUCUGCUGUCAUUCGUAAAAAACAGCUCCCUGAAUCGCACCGCUCCUUCCUCACUGUGGAGCCCUGGUUGUGUUUCCUUUUUUGCCUCGGUUGCCACUCACUCAAGACAGUGGCGCCCUGUCUGAUAACUGUCAGACUUCCUCCUGGCCUGUGGUUUAUUUACACUGGAGAACUGGGAGCACCUUUGCUUGCUGGAAGCCACCGCCACAUGGCAUUCAUGGUAAAGGUCCCACCGCAGUGGAUCACAGUUCACAGUGUGGCUCUCCCACAUACGCCUCCACCUUAACUGCAGCCGGGUGAGCAGUCUUUGGUGAACUGCAUGAGUGACCCAGCAGCCCACAAUCGAUUCCUAAUUACAGGCUGCAAUGUUUCUCAAACCCAUCCUCUUAAUAGGAAAAAAAUUCUGAAGGGUCAGGCUCUCCAGUGUUGGUUUAAAUUUCUCUGUUAAAAAUGUUCAGGGACAGGAGGCCAGUGUUGUGGUACAGCAGGUAAAGCGGCAGCCUGCACUGCCAGCAUCCCAUAUGCAUGCUGGUUCCUGUCUGGGCUGCUCCACUUCUGAUCCAGCUCCCUGCUAUGGCCUAGGAAAAGCAGCAGAGGAGGGCCCGGGUGCUUGGACCCCUACCACCCACAUGUGAGACCCGGAUGAAGCUUCUGGCUCUUGACUUUGGAACAAAUGGCCAAAUGCGGCCAUUUGGGAAGUGAACUAAUGGAUGGGAGAUAUCUCUCUGUCUCCCCCCCCCCCCAUUCUGACUUCCAAAUAAAUAAAUCUUAAAAAAAAAAAAUAAAA